rnacentral:rRNA from 1 species
UACGGGGGGAGCAAGCGUUGUUCGGAUUUACUGGGCGUAAAGGGCGCGUAGGCGGUUGUGACAAGUCACCUGUGAAAUCUCCGGGCUUAACCCGGAAAGGUCAAGUGAUACUGUCGGACUAGAGUACAGAAGGGGCAACUGGAAUUCUCGGUGUAGCGGUGAAAUGCGUAGAUAUCGAGAGGAACACCUGCGGCGAAGGCGGGUUGCUGGGCUGAUACUGACGCUGACAGCGCGAAAGCUAGGGGAGCGAACGGG